GCCCACGUAGCUCAGUUGGAAGAGCAUUGGGCUAGUAUUCCAAAGGUCGUAGGUUCGAAUCCCGCCGUGGCCA
rnacentral:tRNA from 1 species